rnacentral:tRNA from 1 species
GGCCGGUUAGCUCAGUUGGUUAGAGCGUCGUGCUAAUCACGCGAAUGUCAUGGGUUCGACCCUCAUACUGGCCA